GUGGGGAAUUUUGGACAAUGGGGGAAACCCUGAUCCAGCCAUUCCGCGUGCGGGAAGAAGGCCUUCGGGUUGUAAACCGCUUUCGGACAGAAAGAAAUCGCCAUCCCUAAUACGGGUGGUGGAUGACGGUACUGUAAGAAGAAGCACCGGCUAACUACGUGCCAGCAGCCGCGGUAAUACGUAGGGUGCGAGCGUUAAUCGGAAUUACUGGGCGUAAAGCGUGCGCAGGCGGAUUGUUAAGCAAGAUGUGAAAUCCCCGGGCUUAACCUGGGAAUUGCAUUUUGAACUGGCAGUCUAGAGUGUGUCAGAGGGGGGUAGAAUUCCACGUGUAGCAGUGAAAUGCGUAGAGAUGUGGAGGAAUACCGAUGGCGAAGGCAGCCCCCUGGGAUAACACUGACGCUCAUGCACGAAAGCGUGGGGAGCAAACAGGAUUAGAAACCCGUGUAGUCC
rnacentral:rRNA from 1 species